rnacentral:rRNA from 1 species
GACGAACGCUGGCGGCGUGCUUAACACAUGCAAGUCGAACGGAAAGGCCCUGCUUGCAGGGUACUCGAGUGGCGAACGGGUGAGUAACACGUGAGUGAUCUGCCCUGCACUUCGGGAUAAGCCUGGGAAACUGGGUCUAAUACCGGAUAGGAGCCAUUUUUAGUGUGAUGGUUGGAAAGUUUUUUCGGUGUAGGAUGAGCUCGCGGCCUAUCAGCUUGUUGGUGGGGUAAUGGCCUACCAAGGCGGCGACGGGUAGCCGGCCUGAGAGGGUGGACGGCCACAUUGGGACUGAGAUACGGCCCAGACUCCUACGGGAGGCAGCAGUGGGGAAUAUUGCACAAUGGGCGCAAGCCUGAUGCAGCGACGCCGCGUGGGGGAUGACGGCCUUCGGGUUGUAAACUCCUUUCGCUAGGGACGAAGCUUUUUGUGACGGUACCUAGAUAAGAAGCACCGGCUAACUACGUG